AAGUAGAGGCUGGUGCUUUAUCAUGGUGCUCUGCCUAUAUAUAUGGAAUUCUCAAAUGACGCUGAAGAAACCUUCUCUAGAGCACUCAAGCUCUUACUGGUUAGUGAGGUUUAACUUCAAUUUGCGAGCACUGGAAAUCGAAGCUUUUCAUCUAAUGCCCCACUGAUUGAGAACUCUGAUGCUCAGAUUGUCGUUCCAGAUGAUCUUGCAGGCAAAGGACACCAAGUGAAUUAGAUAGAGAGGUUAAGAACUAGAGGGUGGCAUUUACUGACCUAUUUUUGAAGCAUAACACUUUCAAAGAAACUGCAAAGCCAUCGAGAUAUUGAUGCAAAGAAUAAAGCCGAGCUUAGAAUAUUAAGAGGUAACUCCUAGUGAGUGGAUAGAAGGCACUUCAACUUGGAUUGCAAGUAAUUGCAAAGAUUAAGGGCUAUGCUGAUGCAGCUCAGGCACCUGAAUUCUUUACAACUGCUCCAGCCCUUGUGAUACCAAAAGCUAUUUCAAAUGCUGGUUUAGAUGCUUCUCAGAUUGAUUACUAUGAAAUAAAUGAAGCGUUUUCUGUUGUAGCUCUAGCCAAUCAAAAGUUGCUUGGUCUUAAUCCUGUGAGUUUGGAGAAAACUAGAUAAUUUCUUUCAAGUUGAUUUACUUUAUAUGCUUACAGGUGGAAACUAGCUUAAGUCUUGUGUUCUUAAUAAUAAAAGGACUUUUUUU